rnacentral:rRNA from 1 species
CAGUAGCCGCGGUAAUACGAAGGGGGCUAGCGUUGUUCGGGUUUACUGGGCGUAAAGCGCACGUAGGCGGCUUGACAAGUCUUGUGUGAAAUCUAUGGGCUCAACCCAUAGUCUGCACGGGAAACUGUCGGGCUUGAGAAUGGGAGAGGUGAGUGGGAUUUCCGGUGUAGCGGUGAAAUGCGUAGAUAUCGGAAGGAACACCUGUGGCGAAAGCGGCUCACUGGACCAUUUCUGACGCUGAUGCACGAAAGCUAGGGGAGCAAACAGGAUUAGAUACCCCUGUAGUCCCUGUCUCUUAUAC